AGCUUUUUAGUGGUGGAUUGUACUUCUCUUGGUCUGUUCCUGGUUAUCAGGAGGGAAAUUGAUUAGUAAUCUUGCUGUGACUUUGACAGUGUAUAAUCGGGAUUUAACUGCUAACAAGAACUCAGUUUCUCAUCUGUGGUCCUUCCCAGACUGGCUUUUCAGGCAACUUAGAUUUUAUCUGCUCCAAUUUCCAAUCUCACUGACUGUAUCUGUAAGCUUCCAGAUAGUCAAUGAAUUAGCAACAUACUAAUGAUCUGUCAAGACUGUUGUUCAAAAGUGUCAUUUAUGUUACUUGUUCAGUAACACCAUCAGAUUUGCAUGGCAAAAGCAAGCAUGGAUACUGGCUUUCAGGACAGAAUUAAGAUGUCAAAAUAGAAAUAUAUCUGAUAUCACCGUGUUUCAUUGAUAACCACCUUCCAUUUUGUACAUCAGGCAAGACAAAAAUUCACUGUACAGCAGCAUGUUUGCCAAUAAAAUUAUAGUUAAUUCUC
ensembl:lncRNA